rnacentral:rRNA from 1 species
CCGGCUAAUUCCGUGCCAGCAGCCGCGGUAAUACGGAAGGUCCGGGCGUUAUCCGGAUUUAUUGGGUUUAAAGGGAGUGUAGGCGGUCUGUUAAGCGUGUUGUGAAAUUUAGGUGCUCAACAUUUAACUUGCAGCGCGAACUGUCAGACUUGAGUACACGCAGCGCAGGCGGAAUUCAUGGUGUAGCGGUGAAAUGCUUAGAUAUCAUGAGGAACUCCGAUCGCGAAGGCAGCCUGCGGGAGUGUUACUGACGCUUAAGCUCGAAGGUGCGGGUAUCGAACAGGAUUAGAUACCCUGGUAGUCCGCACUGUAAACGAUGGAUGCCCGCCGUUGGCGCCCUGCGCCUGCGGCCAAGCGAAAGCAUUAAGCAUCCCACCUGGGGAGUACGCCGGCAACGGUGAAACUCAAAGGAAUUGACGGGGGCCCGCACAAGCGGAGGAACAUGUGGUUUAAUUCGAUGAUACGCGAGGAACCUUACCCGGGCUUGAAUUGCAGUCGCAGCCCACAGAGACGUGGGCUUCCCUUCGGGGCGUCUGUGAAGGUGCUGCAUGGUUGUCGUCAGCUCGUGCCGUGAGGUGUCGGCUUAAGUGCCAUAACGAGCGCAACCCCCUUUCCCAGUUGCCAUCGGGUUAUGCCGGGCACUCUGGGGACACUGCCACCGCAAGGUGCGAGGAAGGUGGGGAUGACGUCAAAUCAGCACGGCCCUUACGUCCGGGGCUACACACGUGUUACAAUGGCCGGUACAGAGGGACGGUGCAAUGCAAGUUGCAUCCAAUCUUGAAAUCCGGUCCCAGUUCGGACUGGGGUCUGCAACCCGACCCCACGAAGCUGGAUUCGCUAGUAAUCGCGCAUCAGCCAUGGCGCGGUGAAUACGUUCCCGGGCCUUGUACACACCGCCCGUCAAGCCAUGAAAGCCGGGGGUGCCUGAAGUUCGUGACCGCGAGGAGCGACCUAGGGCAAGACCGGUGAUUGGGGCUAAGUCGUAACAAGGUAACC